CCCGUAGCCAGUUCGCAAACGUUUUAGGGAUCUUCCUAUAUCUACGCCUUUUCUCUUCUUCCUCCUUCUUUGCGUCCUUCUUGUCCUCCUCUUUCAGGUCAAGAAACUCCUCCAGAGGAAGAAGGGCAAAAACUUCCACAAACUCACCUUUCCAAAUCUUGUCCUUCAACUCGGCCCUAAGAUGACAGCCUAAGGGGCCCGCGAAAGAAACGUGAACAUUUUGCCGCGCCGCGUCGGUAAUCUCGCC